UGCGUAACGCCGUGGGAAUCUGCCCUUGGGUUCGGAAUAACAGUUAGAAAUGACUGCUAAUACCGGAUGAUGUCUUAAGUCCAAAGAUUUAUCGCCCAAGGAUGAGCCCGCGUAGGAUUAGCUAGUUGGUGAGGUAAAGGCUCACCAAGGCGACGAUCCUUAGCUGGUCUGAGAGGAUGAUCAGCCACACUGGGACUGAGACACGGCCCAGACUCCUACGGGAGGCAGCAGUGGGGAAUAUGGACAAUGGGCGCAAGCCUGAUCCAGCA
rnacentral:rRNA from 1 species